rnacentral:SRP_RNA from 1 species
UGCCGAGUCCAGUACAAUUGCAUGCUGUGAACCAUGUCAGGUCCGGAAGGAAGCAGCAUUAAGCGGAUUAUGUGAUGUGAUACUGUAAACUCGGCACUU